rnacentral:tRNA from 1 species
AAGGGUAUAACUCAGUUGUAGAGCACGUGCUUAGCAUGCACAGGGUCCUGGGUUCAAUCCCAGUACCUCCA